CAGGUGUCUUGAGAGGGAGACCUCUGG
rnacentral:piRNA from 1 species